UACGGGGGGGGCAAGCGUUGUUCGGAAUUACUGGGCGUAAAGGGCUCGUAGGCGGCCAACUAAGUCCGACGUGAAAUCCCAAGGCUUAACCUUGGAACUGCGUCGGAUACUGGAUGGCUUGAAUUCGGGAGAGGGAUGCAGAAUUCCAGGUGUAGAGGUGAAAUUCGUAGAUAUCGGGAGGAACACCAGUGGCGAAGGCGGCGACCUGGGCCAAUAUUGACGCUGAGGUGCGAAAGCGUGGGGAGCAAACAGG
rnacentral:rRNA from 1 species